UACGGAGGGUGCAAGCGUUGUCCGGAAUCACUGGGCGUAAAGAGUGUGUAGGCGGUGCUCUAAGUUCGGUGUGAAAUCUCCUGGCUCAACUGGGAGGGUGCGCCGGAAACUGGAAUGCUUGAGCGUGGGAGAGGAAAGCGGAAUUCCUGGUGUAGCGGUGAAAUGCGUAGAUAUCAGGAGGAACACCUGUGGUGUAGACGGCUUUCUGGACCAUAGCUGACGCUGAGACACGAAAGCGUGGGUAGCAAACAGG
rnacentral:rRNA from 1 species